rnacentral:rRNA from 1 species
UUCCUACGGGAGGCAGCAGUGGGGAAUAUUGCACAAUGGGGGAAACCCUGAUGCAGCGACGCCGCGUGAGUGAAGAAGUAUUUCGGUAUGUAAAGCUCUGUCAGCAGGGAAGAAAAUGACGGUACCUGACCAAGAAGCCCCGGCUAACUACGUGCCAGCAGCCGCGGUAAUACGUAGGGGGCAAGCGUUAUCCGGAUUUAUUGGGUGUAAAGGGCGUGUAGGCGGGAAAGCAAGUCAGAUGUGAAAACUCAGGGCUCAACCCUGAGCCUGCAUUUGAAACUGUUUUUCUUGAGUGCUGGAGAGUG